CCACCCACACUCCGCUCCGCUGCCGGGCCUCCGGCGAGCUCCGCGCCUCCGUCCGGGAGCCAAGGGCUCCCUGGUUCAAAGGGCCGCAGCCCAGGGGAUGCCCUCCUCGUGUGUCCCGGGGUGCAGAAGCAGACUGCAGGGCGGUGGGACCAGCCUGGGCCACGCUAUAUGGAGAAAAAUCAAAAGGAGAUAGGAAAGAAAGCGCUGUAAAGAGACCACAGCCAAAAGUCUUUGGAAUCACCACUGGGUGGAAGUUUGGUGAAAGGAAAUCCCCGUGGAGGAGGUGAUGCAGUGUGGGAAAAUGGGCCAAAGGAUGUGGCUCUAUCAGUGCAUAAAGUUCAACAUUAAAAAAAAAGAAAAUGUUUGUGCUAAAGUGUUAAACAAGUGCAGUAAACAGCGUGCUCGCAGCACACAAAAUUAAAACGAGUCACAAAUGGGUCUCUUCUACGGCAAUUUAUUUCACAAUUACUCUUGUGGAAGCUUUCAUGAAUUAAAUAUGAGUUCUGUCUUGAAAUUAGGUGUUAUAAGGCUAAAUUACAAGAGGCAGGCAGUAAUUGAGGUGGUAGCAACACGGGUCUGGUGAACUAAUUUCUCGCCAUGUCAUGUGGCUCACCUUCAGCCAAUGGGAUGCUGCCCAUCACAAAAACGGAGGCAGCUGAGAAAAAUUGAU